CCAGACUCCUACGGGAGGCAGCAGUGGGGAAUAUUGCACAAUGGGGGAAACCCUGAUGCAGCGACGCCGCGUGAGGGAAGAAGUAUUUCGGUACGUAAACUUCUAUCAGCAGGGAAGAAAAUGACGGUACCUGACCAAGAAGCCCCGGCUAACUACGUGCCAGCAGCCGCGGUAAUACGUAGGGGGCAAGCGUUAUCCGGAUUUACUGGGUGUAAAGGGAGCGUAGACGGCCACGCAAGUCUGGAGUGAAAUCCCGGGGCUCAACCCCGGGACUGCGUUGGAAACUGUGCGGCUGGAGUGUAGGAGAGGCAAGUGGAAUUCCUAGUGUAGCGGUGAAAUGCGUAGAUAUUAGGAGGAACACCAGUGGCGAAGGCGGCUUACUGGACGACGACUGACGUUGAGGCUCGAAAGCGUGGGGAGCAAACAGGAUUAGAUACCCCUGUAAA
rnacentral:rRNA from 1 species